AGGAGAUUUUGCCUCACACCCUUCAGUGUUCCCCCAAGAAAAGGAAUGCACCAUGGAUAAGCGAAUAUUAAUCCUGGUUCUUUUAGUGUCUUCGCUGUGCAUAAUGGCUGAUGCUCAUGAGAAGAGGAGUCCGCUAGCCAGAAGUGGCCCAAGCCGUCCGCCAG